UUGACAUGUUCUUCUCAUUGAAAAAUAUUAAAUCUUUAUGAACGUAUAGUGCAUAGGGAUCUUGAUUCUCAUGCAACGCUGGUGCACUUUCUCUUUGGCAAAUAGCUGAAUAAUUCCAUCAUGAAUAAAGCACAACUGCCGGAAUUUUAUGGUCCGAUUUUAUUUGAUAAUUGCCAAUAUAAUGCUGUAAAAUGUAUUUUAUAUAUGCAGGCACCAACAAUUGCAGCAGCGGCACAUUGUUGAUGGGUUUGCAUGUCUUUAUCUCCUAAUCAUUUAAGUCAUCAACCAUUCUCUUUUUCUCAUUCUACCAUGAAUUGCUAAUUGGGUUUGCAUGUCUUUAUCUCCAUAGAUCUCAUCCUUGGAGAUGGACUCUAUAACUUCAUCAAAGUAUUGUCUUUCACCAUCAGAAGCUUCCAUGGUAGAUUGAAAUGGAAGGACCCUCAGAACAGGCAAUGUAGGAUCUAGAAAUUCAGAACAUUCUAUCUGACCCCAUCUUGUGUGCAAUAUCAAACUGCAGGUUCUGGACCCGUGGUGAGAAGAUUGAGCUUCUGGUAGACAAAACAGAGAACCUCCGCUCACAGGUGGUGAACCUCAAUAUCAUUAAGGGCCUGAACCUGCUGAAGGACUCUGAAAUACUGGUGCUGAUGCCUUUUACUGCUACACAACUCACCAAAUAUCGGCAAAAGAAACCGGUUCCUUGGAAACAAUGGCAAUCAUUGGCAACAAGGAGAUCAUUGAC